rnacentral:sRNA from 2 species
UUUCAUCUAUACGUCGAGAGGAUGAGAAUCUCCGAAGGAGGUUUGAGCCGAACGUAGUGAGACCACGUUGCUUUAGCAACGGCCCGCAGGGCAAGCAUCGAAGAUGCGCAUAAUCCUCUCAUGCCGACCA